UACGAAGGGGGCUAGCGUUGCUCGGAAUUACUGGGCGUAAAGCGCACGUAGGCGGAUUGUUAAGUCGGGGGUGAAAUCCUGGAGCUCAACUCCAGAACUGCCUUCGAUACUGGCGAUCUCGAGUUCGGGAGAGGUGAGUGGAACUGCGAGUGUAGAGGUGAAAUUCGUAGAUAUUCGCAAGAACACCAGUGGCGAAGGCGGCUCACUGGCCCGGUACUGACGCUCAGGAGCGAAAGCGUGGGGAGCGAUCCGG
rnacentral:rRNA from 1 species